rnacentral:rRNA from 1 species
UUAAUACAACCCUAUGCGGUGGAUCACUUGGCUCGCGAGUCGAUGAAGAGCGCAGCAAACUGCGUGAAUUAAUGUGAUUUGCAGGACACAUUGAUCAUCGAUAUCUUGAACGCAUAUUGCGGUUAUGGAUCGCUUCCACGACCACGCCUGUCUGAGGGUCGGUAUU